AAUUCUCAACCUUCCAGCUUUUAUUAGCUUGGUUAGGCUUGGAUGUGGGGGUUGCAGGCUUAUUAGCGGAAUUUUUGUGGACCGUCUAUUGGUGUGAUAAUUAUCUACGCCGUGGAUGUGAAGCAGUUUUAUUAACUUCAGCUUCUAAUCGUUCAUUGACUUGAACAAUUUUAUGACA
rnacentral:misc_RNA from 1 species